rnacentral:tRNA from 1 species
GCCUGGGUGGCUCGGUCGGUUAAGCGUCCGACUUCGGCUCAGGUCAUGGUCUCACGGUUUGUGGGUUCGAACCCCACGUCGGGCU